rnacentral:rRNA from 1 species
AACUUUCAACAACGGAUCUCUAGGCUCUUGCAUCGAUGAAGAACGCAGUGAAAUGUGAUAAGUAAUGUGAAUUGCAGAAUCUCGUGAAUCAUUGAAUCUUUGAACGCA